GUCAGAUUUCAAAAGAAUAAGUUUCUGUGUGAGAAACGGUUUCCAAAAUGAUUUUCUGGAUUUAUCAUUGUAGUAGAUUUUUAAAAUAAAUUUUGUUACGGGAAAUACUUUUAAAUGAUAGAGUUAUUUGGUAUAUUGUGCAUCCGCAUCAUCUCUUGCCUAAGGAGUGCUUAGAAUAUGCAUUAUCUUAAGGAUGGUUAGUUAAUUGAACGCACGAGCAUCGGUAUUGUGUUUGCUGAUUUGUGUGCGGUGAUAUUGUGUGUUGUGGAUAUUGUAUUAGGUGAUAUGUCUACAGAUGCCGAACGGACAGAACCUUCUCUGUCCGCCCAAGGCUCCACAACAACAACAACUAAUACGCAUAAAGCAUUUGCUCAG
rnacentral:lncRNA from 1 species